rnacentral:rRNA from 1 species
ACGCUAGCUACAGGCUUAACACAUGCAAGUCGAGGGGAAACGGCAUUAAGUGCUUGCACUUUUUGGACGUCGACCGGCGCACGGGUGAGUAACGCGUAUCCAACCUUCCCAUGACUAAGGGAUAACCUGCCGAAAGGCAGACUAAUACCUUAUGGUCUUCACUGACGGCAUCAGAUGUGAAGUAAAGAUUUAUCGGUUAUGGAUGGGGAUGCGUCUGAUUAGUUAGUUGGCGGGGUAACGGCCCACCAAGGCAACGAUCAGUAGGGGUUCUGAGAGGAAGGUCCCCCACAUUGGAACUGAGACACGGUCCAAACUCCUACGGGAGGCAGCAGUGAGGAAUAUUGGUCAAUGGGCGAGAGCCUGAACCAGCCAAGUAGCGUGCAGGAUGACGGCCCUAUGGGUUGUAAACUGCUUUUGUAUGGGGAUAAAGUCAAUCACGUGUGAUUGUUUGCAGGUACCAUACGAAUAAGGACCGGCUAAUUCCGUGCCAGCAGCCGCGGUAAUACGGAAGGUCCGGGCGUUAUCCGGAUUUAUUGGGUUUAAAGGGAGCGUAGGCUGGAGAUUAAGUGUGUUGUAAAAUGUAGACGCUCAACGUCCGACUUGCAGCGCAUACUGGUUUCCUUGAGUACGCACAACGUUGGCGGAAUUCGUCGUGUAGCGGUGAAAUGCUUAGAUAUGACGAAGAACUCCGAUUGCGAAGGCAGCUGACGGGAGCGCAACUGACGCUGAAGCUCGAAGGUGCGGGUAUCGAACAGGAUUAGAUACCCUGGUAGUCCGCACAGUAAACGAUGGAUGCCCGCUGUUGGUACGUGGUAUCAGCGGCUAGCGAAAGCAUUAAGCAUCCCACCUGGGGAGUACGCCGGCAACGGUGAAACUCAAAGGAAUUGACGGGGGCCCGCACAAGCGGAGGAACAUGUGG